rnacentral:rRNA from 1 species
GACCAGUAUGAACGGCUAAAUGAGGGCAAACCUGUCUCCUGCACCCAAUCAGUGAAAUUGAUCUCCUGGUACAAAAGCCAGAAUAAUUACAUAAGACGAGAAGACCCUGUGGAGCUUAAAAUUUUUAACUACCUAAAAACUAGUAUCAAUUUUAAGUUGGGGCGACUUCGGAACAAAACAAAACUUCCGAGCUAGGAGUUAUUCCUCCUAAUAAGGCCAACAAGCCAACUAAACCGACCCAGUCACACUGAUCAACGAACCAAGUUACCCCAGGGAUAACAGCGCAAUCCCCUCCAAGAGUCCAUAUCGACAAGGGGGUUUACAACCUCGAUGUUGGAUCAGGACACCCAAUGG